rnacentral:rRNA from 1 species
GAUGAACGCUGGCGGCGUGCCUAAUACAUGCAAGUCGAGCGAACGGACGAGAAGCUUGCUUCUCUGAUGUUAGCGGCGGACGGGUGAGUAACACGUGGAUAACCUACCUAUAAGACUGGGAUAACUUCGGGAAACCGGAGCUAAUACCGGAUAAUAUUUUGAACCGCAUGGUUCAAAAGUGAAAGACGGUCUUGCUGUCACUUAUAGAUGGAUCCGCGCUGCAUUAGCUAGUUGGUAAGGUAACGGCUUACCAAGGCAACGAUGCAUAGCCGACCUGAGAGGGUGAUCGGCCACACUGGAACUGAGACACGGUCCAGACUCCUACGGGAGGCAGCAGUAGGGAAUCUUCCGCAAUGGGCGAAAGCCUGACGGAGCAACGCCGCGUGAGUGAUGAAGGUCUUCGGAUCGUAAAACUCUGUUAUUAGGGAAGAACAUAUGUGUAAGUAACUGUGCACAUCUUGACAGCACCUAAUCAGAAAGCCACGGCUAACUACGUG